AAGGGGCCAUAUUCUUUUUGUGUUGCUUUUGAAUUCUUAUCUGAUCCCAACUCUUUCUGUAUGUUUCUCUAGAUGUGAAGGACAUUAAAGUCGUAGUCAACUACGAUUUCCCUUCGAAUUUGGAGGAUUAUGUCCAUAGGAUUGGCCGAACUGGCCGUGCAGGAGCCACGGGAACUGCUUUCUCAUUUUUCACUCAUGCAAAUGUGAAGCAUGCUAGAGAACUCAUCAAGAUUCUGCAACAAGCUGGGCAGGCCGUGCCGCCUCAACUUGCUGCUUUGUCACGAACUGCUGGAAAUGAUACGGGAGGAUCGGGGCGCAACUUCCGAUCCCGAGGCCGAGGAGGCGGCGGCUUUGGCAACCGUUCGGGGUCUAAUGUGAUACCUAUAGGUGGAAGAAGGCCUUAUUAGUUUUGUGCCUUAAGUUUGUAAUGGAUGUACAAGUUUUACUAUGAUCUUUAUUUGUGUA